UUGAGCCGUAUGACGGGAAACUGUCACGUACGGUUCUGAGGGGGCGAGGGCACCGCAAGGUGCCUGAGCUACCCGAC
rfam:Alicyclobacillus ferrooxydans strain TC-34 contig_57, whole genome shotgun sequence.